UACGUAGGGUGCGAGCGUUAAUCGGAAUACUGGGCGUAAAGCGUGCGCAGGCGGUGAUGUAAGACCGAUGUGAAAUCCCCGGGCUUAACCUGGGAACUGCAUUGGUGACUGCAUCGCUCGAGUUUGGCAGAGGGGGGGUAGAAUUCCACGUGUAGCAGUGAAAUGCGUAGAUAUGUGGAGGAACACCGAUGGCGAAGGCAGCCCCCUGGGUCAAGACUGACGCUCAUGCACGAAAGCGUGGGGAGCAAACAGG
rnacentral:rRNA from 1 species